rfam:Pan troglodytes isolate Yerkes chimp pedigree #C0471 (Clint) chromosome 13, whole genome shotgun sequence.
GCCGGGCGUGGUGGCUCACACCUGUAAUCCCAGCAUUUUGGGAGGCCGAGGCAGGUGGAUCACCUGAGGUCAGGAGUUUGAGACCAGCCUGGCCAACAUGGUGAAACCCUGUCUCUA